rnacentral:rRNA from 1 species
AGUGAACGCUGGCGGUAGGCCUAACACAUGCAAGUCGAACGGCAGCACAGUAAGAGCUUGCUCUUACGGGUGGCGAGUGGCGGACGGGUGAGGAAUACAUCGGAGUCUACUUUUUCGUGGGGGAUAACGUAGGGAAACUUACGCUAAUACCGCAUACGACCUACGGGUGAAAGCAGGGGAUCUUCGGACCUUGCGCGAUUGAAUGAGCCGAUGUCGGAUUAGCUAGUUGGCGGGGUAAAGGCCCACCAAGGCGACGAUCCGUAGCUGGUCUGAGAGGAUGAUCAGCCACAAUGGAACUGAGACAAGGUCCAGAAUCCUAAGGGAGGCAGCAGUGGGGAAUAUUGGACAAUGGGCGCAAGCCUGAUCCAGCCAUAACGCGUGGGUGAAGAAGGCCUUCGGGUUGUAAAGCCCUUUUGUUGGGAAAGAAAAGCAGCAGGUUAAUACCCCGCUGUUCUGACGGUACCCAAAGAAUAAGCACCGGCUAACUUCGUG